rnacentral:lncRNA from 10 species
CACCUACAAGAUAAAGAGUAAGCAAGAUAGAGACAGCAGGAAUGAGCUCUCCGACGGAGGGCAUGAACAGCAAGUGCAAAGGCCCUGCGACUCGAAAGAGCAUGAAAGACUGAGGAAGCGGCCAGUGUGGCUCCAACACAGUGGAGGAGUGGGGGGAUCCUACUGAGAUAGAGGCCCUGGAGAUGAAUCCAAGGCUCACCUGUAAGAUCCAGACAGGACAAAUCUCCAGUCCGAGAUGAUGAACUUCUCCCGGAUUUGGCCAGCGAAUUUCCUGCCUGACUUGGCACAGUAUAUCUCUCCUUCCACACUCCGGAUGGAAAUGUUCUGUUGGAGGGAAAGUCAAGGUGUCACUUCCUAAUUCUGUUUAUAGAGAUACAUUUGGGCUUUAGGCUGGAUGUUUAUGUUCCCUUUACCCCCAUUCUGUGUUGAAACCUAAUCCCCAGGGUGACGGUACUAGAAGGUGGGGCCUUUGGGAGGAGAUUAGGUCAUGAAGAUGGAGUGCUCAUGAAUGGGAGGAGUGCCUUAUAAAGGAGGCCUAGAGAUCUGCCUCACUCCUUCUGCCAUGUGAGGACACAGCAAGAAGACAGCCAUUUAUAAGCCAGGAAGUGGGCUUCACCAGACGCCGAAUCUGCCAGAACGUUGAUCUUGGAGUUCCCAGCCUCUAGAACCAUGAGGAAUAAAUUUCUGUUGUUAUGAACCACCAGUCUAUGGACUUCUGUUAUAGCAGCUGUGAUGGACUAAGACAAUUUGUGCAUGAAAAUGUCUGGUAGAAUGUUCAUCAAGAUGGAAAUGUGUUAUCUCUGGUUGGUGGGAUUCUGGACCAUAUUAAUAUUUUCCCUGG